rnacentral:rRNA from 1 species
CAGUCGCCACGGGAAUACGAAGGGGGCUAGCGUUGCUCGGAAUGACUGGGCGUAAAGGGCGCGUAGGCGGUUUUGACAGUCAGAUGUGAAAUUCCUGGGCUUAACCUGGGGGCUGCAUUUGAGACGUCAGGACUAGAGUGUGAGAGAGGGUUGUGGAAUUCCCAGUGUAGAGGUGAAAUUCGUAGAUAUUGGGAAGAACACCGGUGGCGAAGGCGGCAACCUGGCUCAUUACUGACGCUGAGGCGCGAAAGCGUGGGGAGCAAACAGGAUUAGAUACCCCCGUAGUCCCUGUCUCUUAUAA